UCAUCAUUUAUUUAUCUAUUUAUGUGUUGUUUGUGGAAUAGGUGAGUACAGCUGGCCCAAUAUUUGCUGGGCCCUGCAUAUCUCGUGCACUAACUUCACAGGUGCUUGUUUGUUCAAGAGAUGGCAGUGUUUACUCCUUUGAUUUGGAAAAUGGUGAUUUAUUCUGGAAGCAUGAUAUUGGACAGCCAAUUACUUCAUCUGCCUAUGUUGAUGAACACUUGCUAUUGGCAUGCAUUGAUUCUUCUCUGUCUCAAAGGUUAAUCUGUGUUUGCUCCAGUUCUGGAAGUGUAUGUGUUCUUCAAGUCAGCUUGAACUCUGACGGGGCAAAUCAACCAUGUGAUAUGGUGCGGGAAUUUGCUAGGUAUGAACUUGGAGGAGACAUCUUCUCCUCUCCUGUGAUGAUUGGUGGGGAAAUAUUUGUUGGUUGCAGGGAUGACUAUGUGCACUGCAUUAGUCUUGGAUGAAAUACCAAUAUAAGCCUAUUACAUUAUAUCUUUCACAUGCUCUGUCUGUGGGAGUAUAAAACUCCUCAUUAUCGGAGCAUCAAAUAUUUGCAAAGAAGUUUGCUGCGAAAUUAUCCGAG